rnacentral:rRNA from 1 species
CUAUUCCUACGGGACGCAGCAGUGGGGAAUAUUGCACAAUGGGCGCAAGCCUGAUGCAGCGACGCCGCGUGCGGGAUGGAGGCCUUCGGGUUGUAAACCUCUGUCUUUGGGGAAGAAUAGGGACGGUACCCAAAGAGGAAGCUCCGGCUAACUACGUGCCAGCAGCCGCGGUAAUACGUAGGGAGCGAGCGUUGUCCGGAAUUACUGGGUGUAAAGGGAGCGUAGGCGGGCUUGUAAGUUGAAUGUCUAAUCCACCGGCUCAACCGGUGAUCGCGUUCAAAACUGCAGGUCUUGAGUGAAGUAGA